UGAUCUAGCUGCCGAUCACGUGGUACAGGUCAAGCUUUGGGACAAAAUGGCGGCUGUCAACCGUGCCCUUGAGUGAGCCUCGCCAAGUUCAAAGUGCAAUAUCAUCAAUAUGGGGGUAAAACGAUGCGCUUAUGGCACUUGUAAUAGUGACUCACGUUUCUACCAUAAACCACAUAUGGCAGAUGUGUUUUUUAUUACAUUUCCCAAGCCCACAUCAAAGCCCGAGAUGUGUGACCGCUGGAUCAGAGCGUGUUCCCGCGGUGAUGAUUUUGGCCGUCACAAGAUCACCCAAGAUACAUAUGUAUGUUCCAAACACUUUGUUGAUGGACAUGGUCCUACAGGCGAACAUCCUGACCCUAUACCAGCUACCGCUAGAGGUGUGGAACUUAGAAUAUUCAACACGAAGAAGUCAAGACCACCACCUAAAGGCCGUGUGAGCUUGUCGCCAGAGAAGAAAAAAAAAGUCGUUCACAACUCCAGGUACUCAAUGUGAACAUUGAUAAGGAAAAUGAAAUAACUGAGGGUUCUGAAGAGCAAGAUAAAAAUGUUGAUAAUGAAGAUGCAAGAAAACAGGUUUCCUGUUCUGAUGCAGCUACUCAGACUGACAUCUUGCAUGAUGAUCUGGCUGGCUACAGUGAUGAUCAGCUCAAACAACCUAAAC